CACACUAUAGCUCGAGACAAAAGCUGCUCUUUGACUGUAGAUUCAAAUCAGGUCGCUUUCCCAGCAACAGUGAGCGUCCCAUUUUUAGGUGGCUGAUUUCCCUGAAGCAGAUGGCAGCAAGUGUCACUAUCAAUGCAUAAGCAAGCAGCGGAACAGCCACAUCAAUUCUCAGACUGCAGUUUGUGAAGAAGUAUCACCAAGCUGGAGCCCCAGCUCCCAGCAGAAUUAGAGGACUUUACCUGCCGUACCGGGAUAAGGAUCACAUUCCACGACACCUGGGAGGGACAGAGAGGUAAUCUUCAAUCAAAAACUGCCAUGGAAGAAAUCUCGGAACAAUAGCAACAUUUCUGCCAAAACAAAGCCCACAACAGAAAAAAAAAACAUUUGUUAAUUUCUUAUGAAUUGCUACCUAUAUAUCACCAUUAGCCACCUGCUAUCUGCAGUAUUAUUUGUACAAGAUGAAUGAAAAGUAAAGGAAAAACACAGAAAGCCUACGCAUGCUGACGCACCUACCCACCUGAACUACAAUA